AUGCCGGGGCAGGCGCCAUGGGCAAGGCUGUCUCCUUCUGGCCCUGCCAUCCUGCUGCUGGUGCUCUGUACAGGUACAGGUGGCAGCAUGACCUCCCAGGACAUCUGCAGCUCCCCAGGGGAUCUCCGAGCUCCUGCUUUCCAAAUGAACUCAACUUCUGCUCAGCCAGGUACCACAGUUGUGCUCCAGUGUAUUCUCCAUGUGUUUUCACAUACAAGACGAAUCAUCUUCUGCAAGGAUGGAAAGGAGGUGUACAGCCAGAAAGCCCAGCAAGGGCAGCUGAGCUACUUCACGGUCCUGAACAUCACGUCAAGAAGCGCAGGAAGAUAUACAUGUGGGUACCAGCAGAGGAAUGAGAUGAAACAGAGGAGGAGCUCUGCCCUCAGUGCUGGCCGCAUCCUGGAUGUCCCUGGUGCAGCUGCUGGCGUGACCACCCAGGACAUCGGCAGCUCCCCAGGUGAGGUUGGGCGUGGGGAUGGGUGACUGAAGAGAGGUGUGUGUGGGGUGGUGAUGGCAAGGGAG
rnacentral:lncRNA from 1 species